CAGGGCGGCGGUUUUUGGCAACAGCUGGAUUGAGAGUGGAGUGUGCAUGGUAGGAAGUUUAGUUGACUCGGGAAGCGAUCCGGAAAUGGAGGAAGAAGUGGCGUGGAGAACGGAGGUAAUGAAUGGAAUGUUGUUGAAAAUCGAAAAAGAAAGAAAAACUGGGGUCAGAUUUCAGAUUCUGAUAGUGAAAACGGAAGACAUCAGUUAAGAAGGAAAAAGGAGGAAUACAAGAUUUUGGCAGAGAGUGCAGCCAGUAAUGAAGGGAUAGAUGCACCUAGCACUGUAGAUUUUGAAGCUACAGAGGGCUUCUCUCUACACAAUACUGAACCAUUAGUCCUUCAUCGUGGGUCAUAGUGCAACAUCAAAUGUCUGCAACGUUCAUCAGCUGUUCAGGUAAAGCCUGAAAUGGUUAGUGUUUGGACUCAGACUGAAUGGUUUGAGCAACAAACAUCACUGCCCAGUUCUGUCCAAAGUGAGGACGAAUCAUCCUCUGAUGUCAUGGACCAUUCUGAUCUGUCAUGGAUCCCAGACGAGGAGAUGAGUAGUGAGACAUCUGAUGAGGAGAAUCCAGAAGAGCCAAUACAGGAAUCACUCAAUGACCUCAAUGUGGCUGACAAGUUCAUUGUUUGCCUAAGCCAGCAGAUGUGUCUGUUCACUGUUUGCUCGGUCUGUUGUGGGGAAACCCAGGGACAAAUAGAGUACCAGGAAGGGACUUGCAUAAAAAUCAAGCAGGCCUGCACAGCAUGUGGCUAUCAGCGUCACUGGCAGAAUCAAAAUAUGCUGCACCGAAACAUGCCAGCCUGCAAUCUUCUACUCAGCGGUGCCAUUCACAUUUCAGGCUGCAUGGCUACUCAGACCAUCAGAAUGCUGAAGCUGUUUGGGCUGCAGUGCAUCAGUCCCAGCACUUUUUUCCGCCAUCAGCACCUCUACACAAUUCCUACCAUCCUGCAGGCCUGGCAGAAUGAGGGAUCAUCAGAGAGCUGAAGGAGAUUGGGGGUGGACUGAUCCUCUCUGGUGACUGCUGAUCAGACUCUCCUGGACAUUGUGCCAAAUAUGGAACGUAUUCCUUGAUUGAAGACCGAAUGAACAAGGUUUUGGAUCUUCAACUUGUCCAGAGCUCAGAGGUCCCAAGCAGCACCUGGUGUGAGAUAGAGGGUCUGAAGCGCAGUGUGCGGUUCCUGAAGGACCAAGGCAUGCAGGUGUCAGCCCUAAUAACUGACAGAAAUCGGCAGGUUGCUAAGUGGGUCCGUGAGGAGUUGUGUCCUGAAGGAACAAGGCAUUUCUACGACAUCUGGCAUAUUGGGAAAAGUCUACAAAAAGCACUGGAUACUGUGGCCAAGGAUUGUGAGGACCUGAAGCUAUGGAGACCCGCCAUCAUCAACCAUUUAUACUGGACUGCGUCUUCCACCCCAAAUGGUGAUUCUGAUGAAAUGGAGGCCAAGUGGCAGAGCAUGCUGAACCAUGUUCAGGAUAUCCAUGAACACAGCUACCCUUCAUUUCCACAAUGUGCACACCCACCUCUGAAAGGAGAGGGAAGAAACAAGCAGUGGCUUGAACCAGGAUCAACAGCUGCGAUAAAGUUGGAAAGUGUUGCUUCCAGAAAGGCCCUGCUGAAGGAUAUUCAACAGCUCUCACCACAACACACACACACACACACACACACACACACAAACACUGAACAUCUACUGCUGCAGACACACACACACACACACACACACACACACUGAACAUCUACAUCAACGAAACAUUUUCCUUGGAGGCAUUCCAUUCACUUAUCCUGCACUUUGCGCCAAAGCGCACCGGCUUCUCUUUUCUUGGAAUGUACAGCAGACUUCUUAGCAGCCCUCCACUUCAAUAACAAUGGAGACAGAGACUUGGCUCGAACGAACAAUGGUGAGGCGCGCUAUGCAGUCCGUUACCCCCGGUUUCGUAAGGGUGGCUGGGUCGUCCGACCCAUAAAAGAGAAACCAUCAUACGAAUAUGCAUCGGCCCUGAUGGUCUCCCUGAGAGAGGGAUAUAUAAGGUCACCACAGGCCCUCAAAGAAGACAGCGCCAUCCUGUCCUCAGCUGCACCUGCCCCUCUUUCCACGAUCACAAAAUCGCCAAGGAUGAGGCAGUCGGCCACCAUCUUGAAUGUCAUUCACGUUUUAAGUCCUAAUUACUGUCAAUGAAAUUAGAAAUACAUUUUAUAC